UACGUAGGGUGCGAGCGUUGCCCGGAUUUAUUGGGCGUAAAGGGCGCGUAGGCGGCUCUGCACGUCCGUUGUGAAAUCGCCCGGCUCAACUGGGCGGGGUCAGCGGAUACGGCGGAGCUUGAGCAAGCUAGGGGGCAAUGGAAUUCCCGGUGUAGUGGUGGAAUGCGUAGAUAUCCGGAGGAACACCAGAGGCGAAGGCGGCCACCUGGUGGUGUAUUGACGCUGAAGUGCGAAAGCGUGGGGAGCAAACAGG
rnacentral:rRNA from 1 species